rnacentral:rRNA from 1 species
AGUAGUUUGAUCAUGGCUCAGGACGACGCUGGCGGCGUGCUUAACACAUGCAAGUCGAACGGUGAACCAGAGCUUGCUCUGGGGAUCAGUGGCGAACGGGUGAGUAACACGUGGGCAACCUGCCCCAGACUCUGGGAUAACCCCGGGAAACCGGAGCUAAUAUCGGAUAUGACCACUUCGGACAUCCGAUGGUGGUGGAAAGUUUUUCGGUCUGGGAUGGGCCCGCGGCCUAUCAGCUAGUUGGUGGGGUAAUGGCCUACCAAGGCGACGACGGGUAGCCGGCCUGAGAGGGCGACCGGCCACACUGGAACUGAGACACGGUCCAGACUCCUACGGGAGGCAGCAGUGGGGAAUAUUGCACAAUGGGCGAAAGCCUGAUGCAGCGACGCCGCGUGAGGGACGACGGCCUUCGGGUUGUAAACCUCUUUCAGCAGGGACGAAGCGAAAGUGACUGUACCUGCAAAGAAGCACCGGCUAACUACGUG